UCCGUUAAUGGUGACAGAGGCCCUGAAGCCGUACUCUAAAGGCGGACCUCGUGUCUGGUUUGUGUCUAACAUCGAUGGAACGCACGUCGCUAAGACUCUGGCUGAACUCAACGCUGAGACCACACUCUUCAUCAUCGCAUCGAAGACAUUCACGACCCAGGAAACCAUCACAAACGCUGAAUCAGCGAAGGAGUGGUUCCUGCAGGCCGCCAAAGAC